rnacentral:SRP_RNA from 1 species
CCGUGCAGCCGGGGCAGUAGCGGAGCCUUGUACCUGCAAUCCGCUUUAGCAGGGGUGUUGGCCGGCAGAGGGUUUUUGUUUUUAUGGCUGCCCUUUAUAAGUGGCGUUGAUAUCUGGGUCUUACGCAAUGGAAAUCCAUGAACCGUGUCAGGGUAGGAAUACAGCAGCACUANNNNNNNNNNUUGAUUGCAUAUAAAUAUUAAAUAUUUUCUUUAAUACAAAUUUCUACAGAUGUAUAGUUAUACUCCUGUUUUGGCGG